CAAGGGUUAGUUUAAAUAAAAAUAUUAAUUUUGGAGAUUAAUGAUAUGUAUGCUACAUUUCCUUGA
rnacentral:tRNA from 1 species